ACAUAGGUUUUUGCAUUUUGAUGCAAGAUUAAAAGGGAAUUCAGUGAGAAUCUGAAGCAGUCCGAACCUCUACUGUAUUUGCAGACGAAAAAUCUAAGCGCAGCCAUUGCUCUUUUGAGUGAGAAGGCAGAUUUUGAGGAUGAAGCAUAAGUCAGGAGACCUGCCAUGUACAUU
rnacentral:ncRNA from 1 species